rnacentral:piRNA from 1 species
AAAGUGGUUGGCUGCAGUUGUGU